UUGCUUCGGCAGCAAAUAAACUCAAAUUGGAACGAUACAGAGAAGAUUAGCAUGGCCCUUGCACAAAGAUGACAUAUAAAUUCGUGAAGCCCUCCCUAUUUUA